rnacentral:sRNA from 1 species
CCUGCAGAUGCCCUGCUCUCUGACCUGGAGACUACCACCUCGCACAUGCCAAGGUCAGGGGCUCCCAAAGAGCGCCCUGCGGAGCCUCUCACCCCUCCCCCAUCCUAUGGCCACCAGCCACAGACAGGGUCUGGGGAGUCUUCAGGAGCCUCGGGGGACAAGGACCACCUGUACAGCACGGUAUGCAAGCCUCGGUCCCCAAAGCCUGCAGCCCCGGCGGCCCCUCCAUUCUCCUCUUCCAGCGGUGUCUUGGGUACUGGGCUCUGUGAGCUAGAUCGGUUGCUUCAGGAACUUAAUGCCACUCAGUUCAACAUCACAGAUGAAAUCAUGUCUCAGUUCCCAUCUAGCAAGGUGGCUUCAGGAGAGCAGAAGGAGGACCAGUCUGAAGAUAAGAAAAGACCCAGCCUCCCUUCCAGCCCGUCUCCUGGCCUCCCAAAGGCUUCUGCCACCUCAGCCACUCUGGAGCUGGAUAGACUGAUGGCCUCACUCUCUGACUUCCGCGUUCAAAACCAUCUUCCAGCCUCUGGGCCAACUCAGCCACCGGUGGUGAGCUCCACAAAUGAGGGCUCCCCAUCCCCACCAGAGCCGACUGGCAAGGGCAGCCUUGACACCAUGCUGGGGCUGCUGCAGUCCGACCUCAGCCGCCGGGGUGUUCCCACCCAGGCCAAAGGCCUCUGUGGCUCCUGCAAUAAACCUAUUGCUGGGCAAGUAAGUGGAGCCUUGUGAGAAGGGAGGCAGAGACCUGUCACAGACCCAUCUUUAGUGAGAGCUGGGCUUUAUGCUGUUCCCUUUUAGUAAGUUAAUCUGGGAAGUGGGUAUCAUUAUUACUUAUGUUUUAUGGAUGAGGAAACUGAAGCUCUGAACCACACAGCAGGUUAGUGGUAGGGUGAAAAUUCCAAUCAUGUUACCAUUUAUUGUGGUCCUACUGUGUGCCAGGCACUGUGCCAGCUCCUUUACAAACCCUCAUCUCAUCUGAUCUUCACAAAACACUCUGUGGCUCCACCCAAUAUCUCUCAGGCAUCUACAAAGGCUCUCUCUUCCUCCGUCAGAGUCUGGACUGGGUUCACUGGUCCUUGUUUUAUUGACUGAGCAGAUGUGAUUGACAACAGCUGUGCCUAGGGGUUAACCUAGUGCCCCCUGCUAGAUCAAGUACCUGACUCCCAGCCCAGAAUUGCCCAUCUCAGCAAAGGAGGGUGGCAUUGUGACUUUUGUGGAUCAUAGGCACUUUCAUCUUCAUGAGUCCCUUCGUCCAUUAAAAUAAAUAGAUUUUUAUGCCUGUGUUGGUGUAAAGAUGGGUAUGUUAUUAUUGUGUAUUACAGCAUUUUCUUCUAGUUCAUUUUUUUAUUCUGAAUUUUUAAAAACGGAUUUUUCACUUCCUCCCUCUUAUUUAUUUUGAGGCAAAGUCUCACUCUUGUGACCCAAGCUGGAGUGCAGUGGUGCGAUUGUGGCUCACUGCAGCCUCGACCUUCUGGGCUCAAGCGAUCCUCCCAGCUCAGCCUCCCAAGUAGCUGGGACUAAAGGCGCCCGCCACCUCGCCCAGCUAAUUUUAUUUAUUUAUUGUAGAGAUGGGGCUUCGCCAUGUUGCCCAGGCUGGUCUCAAACUCUUGGGCUCAAGUAAUCCUCCCACCUCAGCCUCCCAAAUGCUAGGAUUAGAGGCACGAGCCACCCAGCCUGAUCGUAUUUUGAUUUUAAAAAAAUUAAAACGUUUUUAUGGGCCCCUAAAUGUAUUGUGGGCUCCAGGAGCUGUGCCUGCUGUGCCUCAUGUAUAGGUCAAUCCUGGAGCGCAGCUGGAAGACGGAAGACGGGAGCUAGAUCUCCAUCGCUUACAGGCUGCGUGAUCUCGAACACUGGAUUCUUUAUUCUGAUCGCUCAGAGAGGACUCGAAAAACGCCGCGUAAAUCUUGCCUCACUGGGCAUGUGGUUGUCAGAGCCGCUCUGACCCGCCUCACCUCCCACUCGCAGGUGGUGACGGCUCUGGGCCGCGCCUGGCACCCCGAGCACUUCGUUUGCGGAGGCUGUUCCACCGCCCUGGGAGGCAGCAGCUUCUUCGAGAAGGAUGGAGCCCCCUUCUGCCCUGAGUGCUACUUUGAGCGCUUCUCGCCAAGAUGUGGCUUCUGCAACCAGCCCAUCCGACACAAGAUGGUGACCGCCUUGGGCACUCACUGGCACCCAGAGCAUUUCUGCUGCGUCAGUUGCGGGGAGCCCUUCGGAGAUGAGGGUGAGAGUGAACUCGACUCCCACCUUAAAAGCUGCGGGUCCCCUCGACGUCUCGCCCCAGCCCCUCCGACCUCCGGAGUCCUCAGGGCCAUGGUUUUCCUUCUGCUCUCUUCUGGCCCUGCCCUCUCCUACACAGACUCCGGACCCGAGCCCUCCCCGCUCUGUCCCGCCAUAGACCCAGCUCCUCCUUCCCCAAGGCUCCCUCGGACUGCCCCUCCUUCGGCCCCAGAUCUCAGGUCUU